rnacentral:lncRNA from 1 species
UGGAAAAAUGUUCCAUUUUCCCUUCUAGAUGAAAUUAUCACAGUUCAUUUUAAAAUGCUCUUUAAAUUCUGCGUGUACAUUUAUGUACUUCUCUGUAUGUAUGAAAUCUUUAAAAAUAUCAGUGAAACUUUUGUGCGGUUGGACACAACAAAAGAUAAACUUGAAUAAUUAAGUAGGAAUCUCAAAGACAUUAAAAAAAUAAAAGUACAAGUUAUGAAAGAAAGUUAAUGUGGUAUAGAAUAUAUAUAGAGGAGAUUCAAUAUCUGGUCAUAGUAGUUUGUGAAGGAAUGAACAGAUUGAAUAUAGGGGAUUAAUUUUUCUAGAAAUUAGCAAAUACUCAACUAGAAAAUAUGGGGCAGUUUCACCCAAAUACAUCUAUAAAUUUAUUAUAAUUUUAGGUGUAAAACUAUUUUAAGUAAAGUUAUUGCAGAGUGAAAAAGAAUAAAAUUCAGAAAGCAAUACAAAUGAGAUUUAGCAUAUUCUAAAGGUCAUGCUAAUUAUUAAUGGGUACAGAAUCGACUGUUCUCUAACUACUGUUAAGACAACUAGGUUUUAUAAUGAAAGAGCUUUCAAAGUUUCUACCUCACCCAAAUUAUACUCUAGUUCAAGUCAAAAUGUAAGUGUAAAUCAACAAUGAUAAUUAUUAUAAAAGCAUAAUAAAAAAUAAAUGAGAAUAUGUUCCUAAUCUUAGUGUAGUAUAUCUCGACACAGCAAGAUAAAGAUAUAUUUAUUCUUAGAGGUAUCUCUUCUAGAUUUGAUAACAUAAAACAUUAAAAACUUAUUUGGAAGAAGUGAUCAUAAAUUAUACAAUUCAGCAGAUAUUUAUAAGCCCCUAACAUGUACUAACUGUUCAAAAAUCUUGGUAUAUAUGAGGAACAAAACAUACAAAAAUACUUGCUCUUAUUAAUUUUAAAUUUACUGGAAAAACAGGGAAUAAAAACAUAAAAAUAAAUGAUAUAUUCUUUUAGAAGGUUCUAAGUGCUAUAAAAAAAGGCAGAGUAAAGAUGAUCUGGCCUGGCUUUUGUGGCAACGGGAGUGUGCUGAAAUUAAAUACAGUGGUUAGUGUAGGCCUCAUUAAGAAGGUGAUAUGUGACAAAGACUUGGAGAGGUUAAGGGGUGAGAAUCCAGAGAAAAGCAUUCUAGGCAAAGAGAACAGUCAUUGAAAAUUCCAAAUUCUUAAUUUUUUUUUUUUUUUUUUUUUUUUGAGACGGAGUCUCGCUCUGUCUCCGAGGCUGGAGUGCAGUGGCGCAAUCUCGGUUCACGCCAUUCUCCUGCCUCAGCUUCCUGAGUAGCUGGGACUACAGGCGCCCGCCACAACGCCUGGCUAAUUUUUUGUAUUAGAAUAAAGACUUAUAGAGACGGGGUUUCACCGUGUUAGCCAGGAUGGUCUCGAUCUCCUGACCUCGUGAUCUGCCCGUCUCAGCUUCCCAAAGUGCUGGGAUUACAGGCGUGAGCGACCGCGCCUGGCCGCAAAUUCUUAAUGUUUAGAGAACAUCUAAGGGACUGAGUGCCUGAAGCAGAGCAAAUAUGGGAGAAAAAGUAGAAAAGUGAAUAAAAUUAAACGAAAUGAAGGGACAAAUGAUUUGUCAGGAGAAAAUAUUUGCAAUAUUUAUAAGAAAAGGGUUUGUAUCUUUAAAAGGAGUUCCAAUGCCUGAAUAGGAAAAUAACAGACAUCCCAGAAGAAUACUGAACAAUGCAUACAAAUAAGUACAUCGCUGAAGAAGCAAACUGCCCAAUAAAGUCUUCAAUCUCUGUGGUGGUAAGAAUGAUCAGGGAAAUAAUAAGAAUGAGAAUUUGAGACCCAGAGCUGUUAAAUGACUUACCGAAUGUUACAAAACCAAUAGCUGGUGGAGCCAAGACUCAAACCCAGGCGUGAUCCAAAGCUUGACUUUCCUGAAUUUUAAUUUGUCAUUGUAAUAAAACUAUUUAAAAUUAAUUAUCCUGUAACUGGCAGUGAUCUUUAACUUCUGUUUUCCCUGUUUGGGGUCAUCUUAAAAAUCAGUGGUAUAUUGGACUGACUGGAUCUUUUUGUCUCAUUAGAUAUCGUCACAUAAGCAUAGACAAGAACAUGGGUGAGACUUAUAACACCUAUUGGUUGUAGGGAAGACCAGAAAGCCUUCCUGGCAUUUCCUGCAGAAACAGCCUUUCAGAUGUCUUCUUGGUGGGAGACACAGGGCAUUGCCAACUAGCUAAUAGGCAGAC